ACUAAAUUGCUAGAACGAGAGGCAAAAACGACGGUCACUCUCUCUCUCUUCCCGGCAUUGCGGCUCGCUUACCAUUGUGCAGCUAUCGUCGUAUCAUUGUAGCCAUCGAUUAUUUAACAUUAUGGGUACGACGAGCAACGGCGCCAGAUCGCGCCCCGCCGCGACGCCGCCCGACGUAUUGUACAACUACUGCGCACGGCACCGACGUACUGCGGACCGGUCGGCCAUAUUUUUAUUUCCGGAAUUCACUCCGACGGCGACGGUACUGCUCUGCUCGCGACGUACGCGCACGACCGUGUCCGUCUCAGCGCCUCCCGACACCGACGGCGAUCGUUUUCCGUUCGGCGCGCCAUGACAGGUUAGGUCUCAUUUCGACGGCGAGAACUUGUUGAUUCGGUACCGGCGAGUGCAGUUGUAUACUCGACCAGUCUCGCCAUGAAAGCCGGAGCGGCAGACGCUGACCACAUGGUCCAGGGCAAGGGCAACGGCUGUUCGUCGUGCAGAGUGACCGGAACUCUUUCCUUGUUAAUGGUUGCUGCUUAUUUUUACUUCGGUUGCAAGCACGUGAAACCAGUGUAUUACUUCGGAACCCCGAGUAUGAUAUCUUUGGCUGUGGCGAGAGCAUUAGAUUUGACACCUUUCAAUGGUUAACAUUUCAAAAUCAGUUGUGUGGUCAGAAUUUAUAUUAUGGUAAAAAUGUUUCUGUAUCAAGGUAAAAUACAUAGCUUAUUAAUGUCUUAUAACAAUUA